UACGUAGGGUGCGAGCGUUGUCCGGAAUUAUUGGGCGUAAAGGGCUCGUAGGCGGUUUGUCGCGUCGGGAGUGAAAUCCACUGGCUUAACUGGUGGCUUGCUUUCGAUACGGGCAGACUGGAGGUAUGCAGGGGGAGAACGGAAUUCCUGGUGUAGCGGUGAAAUGCGCAGAUAUCAGGAGGAACACCGGCUGGCGAAGGCGGGUCCCUGGGCCGAGUACUGACGCUGAGGAGCGAAAGCGUGGGGAGCAAACAGGGAUUAGAUG
rnacentral:rRNA from 1 species